UACGAAGGGGGCUAGCGUUGUUCGGAAUCACUGGGCGUAAAGGGCGCGUAGGCGGCUUUAUAUGUCGGGGGUGAAAGCCUGUGGCUCAACCACAGAAUUGCCUUCGAUACUGUAGAGCUUGAGACCGGAAGAGGUAAGUGGAACUGCGAGUGUAGAGGUGAAAUUCGUAGAUAUUCGCAAGAACACCAGUGGCGAAGGCGGCUUACUGGUCCGGUUCUGACGCUGAGGCGCGAAAGCGUGGGGAGCAAACAGG
rnacentral:rRNA from 1 species